rnacentral:rRNA from 1 species
GUAGCAGGAGAAAGCUUGCUUUCUUGCUGACGAGUGGCGGACGGGUGAGUAAUGCUUGGGAAUCUGGCUUAUGGAGGGGGAUAACGACGGGAAACUGUCGCUAAUACCGCGUAUUAUCGGAAGAUGAAAGUGCGGGACUGAGAGGCCGCAUGCCAUAGGAUGAGUCCAAGUGGGAUUAGGUAGUUGGUGGGGUAAAGGCCUACCAAGCCAGCGAUCUCUAGCUGGUCUGAGAGGAUGACCAGCCACACUGGAACUGAGACACGGUCCAGACUCCUACGGGAGGCAGCAGUGGGGAAUAUUGCGCAAUGGGGGGAACCCUGACGCAGCCAUGCCGCGUGAAUGAAGAAGGCCUUCGGGUUGUAAAGUUCUUUCGGUAUUGAGGAAGGUUGAUGUGAUAAUAGCACAUCAAAUUGACGUUAAAUACAGAAGAAGCACCGGCUAACUCCGUGCCAGCAGCCGCGGUAAUACGGAGGGUGCGAGCGUUAAUCGGAAUAACUGGGCGUAAAGGGCACGCAGGCGGUUAUUUAAGUGAGGUGUGAAAGCCCCGGGCUUAACCUGGGAAUUGCAUUUCAGACUGGGUAACUAGAGUACUUUAGGGAGGGGUAGAAUUCCACGUGUAGCGGUGAAAUGCGUAGAGAUGUGGAGGAAUACCGAAGGCGAAGGCAGCCCCUUGGGAAUGUACUGACGCUCAUGUGCGAAAGCGUGGGAGCAAACAGGAUUAGACACCCUGGUAGUCCACGCUGUAAACGCUGUCGAUUUGGGGGUUGGGGUUUAACUCUGGCGCCCG